rnacentral:rRNA from 1 species
UACAGAGGGUGCAAGCGUUAAUCGGAAUUACUGGGCGUAAAGCAUGCGUAGACGGUUACGUAAGUCGGAUGUGAAAGCCCCGGGCUCAACCCGGGAAUUGCACUCGAGACUGCGUAGCUAGGGUGCGGAAGAGGGAAGCGGAAUUUCCGGUGUAGCGGUGAAAUGCGUAGAUAUCUGGAGGAACACCGGUGGCGAAGGCGGCAUCCUGGACCGGUAUUGACACUGAGGCGCGAAAGCCAGGGGAGCAAACGGG